CUUCCGGUGGUGGCUGAGGGCUCGUGCUCGAGGCUGAGGGAUGCUGGUGACUCCCGGGGUCCCCAGCCCCGCCCCCAUCGGACGCCUCCACAGGCGGCGCACCCUUUCCGCCAUCCGCAGAGCAAGGCUGCCUCGGGGCGGCUCAGUCCGGCGCUUCUUACCUUACCUCCGUCUCAUCCUUAACUCACCACGAGCGUCCAGGGUCCACAUCCUCCUAAAUGGCCACUCGUCUUAAUCUCGGCGUCAGGACCCACGCGGGGUCAGGACUACCCCUCCGCUUCCAUGACUGUCUCCUCGCGGCUCCGGCUCCCACGGAGCGACCCCUCCGGGUUUUACUGACCCCGGGAUGUUGUAUCCUGGAAACUGCAGUUCCACCCAGGGGCUUGAUCUGGGUUAGUCUGGGGGCAAGUGAGCCGCCGAUUCUGUUUGGGUUUUUUUUUUUUUUUUUUUGAGACGGAGUUUCCCUCUUGUUGCCCGGGCUGGAGUGCAAUGGCGCGAAGUCGGCUCAACGCAACCUCCGCCUCCCAGGUUCAAGCGACUCUUCUGCCUCAGCCUCCCAAGUAGCUGGGACUACAGGCAUGCGCCACCACGCCAGGCUAAUUUUGUAUUUUUAGUAGAGACGGGGUUUCUCCAUGUUGGUCUGGCUGGUCUUGAACUCCCGAGCUCAGGUGAUCUGCCCGCCUCGGACUCCCAAAGUGCUGGGAUUACAGGCGUGAGCCACCAUUCCCGGGCGCUGUUUGGGUUUGUUUUUUUGUUUUUGUUUUUUACGUUCACAGCAUGGACGGUCAGUGUGAAGAUCCCAGCUGCUCGGGUCCUAGCUGGAAUUCUUCCAUUAAAAAAAUCUGUUUGUUAUGCAUGGGUUAGUUCACAGAGGAAUAGCUGGAUAAGUGCUGGCUUUUUCCCCGAUUUACCCAUUUUCAACCUAAUAAUGCAGGUUUUUGAAAUAAUGUGAAUGGUUACUGCUGGCGGAUGUUCACAGGGACACACCGGAUUCUACAGACACAUCUGAUGAUCUAGCCACGGCUGUCACUUUCCCCACUGCCGCGUUGUCCAUCACUAGGACUUUACUGCCAAUCCUUGCAAGAUAGUGGGGAACUAGAAUAACAGACAUGGGACAUUACCAGUUACAACCAAAGACAAGCUUGGCACAUUUGACUGUCCUCGUUCCUGCUCCUCCGUGCCUGGCCCUCUUCAGGCUUCUCAGCUCCUGGGGAGCGGCCAGCCAGGGAGCAUCAGCUGGUGGGAGCGAUGGGGUUGUGGGAUGGCACAAAAAAACACCAAGCGCCACUCAGAAAGGAAAUGCCGAAUGCAGACUCUCACUCAGUCGGUGUGGGGGCCAGGACCCUGUCUCUACCAAGUGUGCGGGAGCUGCCCCUGGCCGGGAGCUCCCAGACCCCACUGCAGAUAUCAGCUCCACUUCCCAGAUAAGCAAGGGAGCCAGGUACUACCCAGGGUCUUGGGGGCCACACCGCUGGCGAGGGACAGGCUGGGCCUGGCAGACAGCACUGGCAGUCGGUGAAGUGCCCACCUCAGUGUCAGCCUCAGGUCCUGACCCUGGAGGCUGCUGUUACUGAGCUGUGGGGACCAGGAUGCCCUACCAUGAUGGAGACCCAAGCCUCUCUCAUGAUGACUAUUCCCAAGGGCACUGCAGAGGGGAGGAGCUGUCUCCUCCUCCGUGUGGCCCACGCAGAGCUGGUGCAGGUCUGAGUGAGCUCACCAAGACAGGCCAAUCCCAGCCCCAGACUCCAAAGCAUCCCCAAGAGGUCAGGGAGAGGCUCUGUGCCCCUGACCCCAAGGAUAUGCACAGGUCACAAGGCAGAGCCCCCGCUAGACAGCAGGAGCACCCUGCUCUGUCAGCCUGCUUCCCCAGGACGGAGGCCCUGGUGGUAAGGCAGGCAGGUCUUGAGCCCCCACAAGACAGCAGGAUACAACAUAACCCUUUUUAAUCUGAAGUGUAGACUUCAUCCUCACGUUAGAAAACUCCAUCUUUUUUUU
rnacentral:lncRNA from 1 species